rnacentral:rRNA from 1 species
GUUUCUUGGAGAGCUAUGACUCAACCAAAGAAGUGUGGCUGCUAGGGAUUCAGGGACCUCGAGCUCUUCAACCUAGCGUUGUUGGCUCGGAAAUCUUGGCGCUUUCUUGCCGUGCCUGACUCACUUUGUGCACAGUUUCUCAAGGCCGUCUAUUAUUAAAGCAAUGGUAUUCUUAAUGUCGAACUAGGAUCACACCCGUCUCAAGUAUGGAGGUUCAUCUUGGAGAGAAGAGAUGUACUCUCACAGAGCAUCAUUAGGCGCAUUGACGAUGGCGCAACCACACAGGUUUGGACUGAAAAAUGGAUCCCGAAAGACGCAUCGAUGAGACUAGUUGCUUGCCUGGCCAGCUACCAUCCUACAUUUUCCAGCAAUCUGAUUGAUAGCACUUUGACGCCAUGGAGAGAUGAUAAGUUGUAG